GGAGAACGGCUCAUUGACUAUUUCGUUGUUUGCGGACUUGACAAUGUGUCCGGCUUGGAACCCGACCAGCUAUUAGGUGAUUCACAUCACGUUCCACCCCUUGAAAGGUCUUAUCGGGCAAAGACAUUAGCUCAUUAUCCUGAUCAUGUCCCCUGGAAUCCAUUUGAUGAACAUGCAGUUUGCAUGUUCGUAUUAUAUUUGUGUCAUCUGCUCCAUCUCACUAAUGUUACUUAUAUGAACUGGAAUUCUCAGCAGAAGAUCGCAUGUUGAUGUUGUGGGGCGACAUUUACAAUUUUCUUUGCAAUCAUGUACAAACGUUACGGAAAAUUUUUUUGGAAAACCCAGAACUGGAAUAGUCUUACAUCUCGAUAACCACUUCAGAAACGCUGAUAUGGAUACGUCUCCUGUUAAAAACAUUUUAAACAUUUAAGACUGAAAAAUGAAUAAACAAACUAAUCAAGGUA